GUGCCAGCAGCCGCGGUAAUACCGGCAGCCCGAGUGAUGGCCGAUCUUAUUGGGCCUAAAGCGUCCGUAGCUGGCUGCGCAAGUCCGUCGGGAAAUCCACUCGCCCAACGAGUGGGCGUCCGGCGGAAACCACUCGGCUUGGGGCCGGAAGACUCGAGGGGUACGUCCGGGGUAGGAGUGAAAUCCCGUAAUCCUGGACGGACCGCCGAUGGCGAAAGCACGUCGCGAAGACGGAUCCGACAGUGAGGGACGAAAGCUAGGGUCUCGAACCGGAUUAGAUACCCGUGUAGUCC
rnacentral:rRNA from 1 species